rnacentral:lncRNA from 10 species
UUCCUGUCUUGGCCUUCCAAAGCACUAGGAUUACAGAUCUUUAUGGUCUGCCAAUACAAGAACAUCAUCAAUCUAAUAUAAACAGUUUGGUCAAAUGUCUUUGGGACCUAUCUAUUGGGACCUAUUACUUGGGACCUAUUCAUUACUAUUAUAAUUAAUAGUAUUCUUUUGGAAAAUAUGUCACUGUAUUACAUUCAUGUGUUAAUUAUGAAUGCAAUUCACAAAUCUGUGAUAAAAGUUACACUGCACCAGACACUCCAGACACAGGGCUAAAGAGGACUGAUAUUGCCACACAUAAAGAAGUAUUUAUUACAACAGGAAUAGAGUCAUGUAACAAGCAAGUGCAAGCAAUUGUGCUUCUUGGUAGCACAAAUACAGAACCAUGCAGUAUUACAGAGGUGCCUAAGGUGGGGGCCUUAAGAGAAUCUGAACAUUCUGACGUUGAGAAACAAUGCUUAGAGGUAUUUGUUGUUGUUGGUGUUGCUAUAAAAAUCCUCCCCUUUCAUGAACAUUUUUUCUUUACUUAUUUUAUGUGUUUGUUUGAUUCCCUAAUUUAGGCUUUAAAAUGUGCUGACUUUGUAGUCAUAAUUAUGGUACGCUUUUCAAAAUUGUUAAUGCGGGUGACCAAAACCAAUCCCUACCCUUUACAGGCCUGCCACAAUCCUAUUGAUAGCGGCAACUGCCAGCUGAAGGUUUUGGAUCUUGUGAUUGCAAUGGAAACUGGCACGAUCAAUCCACUUAUUUGCUAAAUUACCCGUGCUUCCUCUACUGUAAUUCCCCCCUGCCCCCUGCGAGACAGAGUCUCGCUCUGUCGCCAGGCUGGAGUGCAGUGGCCCGGCAUGAUCUCGGCUCGCUGCAAGCUCCGCUUCCUGGGUUCAGGCGAUUCCCCUACCUCAGCCUCUGGAGUAGCUGGGAUUACAGGCGCGCGCCACCACCCCCAGCUAAUUAUCAUUAUUAUUAUUUUUGUAUUUUAGUAGAGAAGGGAUUUCACCAUGUUGACCAGGAUGGUCUCGAUCUCCUGAUCUCGUAAUCUGCCCUCCUCGGCCUCUCAAAGUGCUGGGAUUAUAGGCUUGAGCCACCGUGUCCUCUACUGUAAUUUUACUUGCCCCCUGUGGGGUAAAUAUUUUCAACAUACUUUUUGGUACUGCAGUAAAUCACAUUCUAUCCUCAAGGAUGAAAAGCAGGAAGAUUCUUAUUCAUUAGAAUAGAGUUUCUUCCCAAACAUCCAUGCAAGUUUAAAGGCUCCUAUUGACUAUGUAUUAGAAGCACUUUUUUUGUUGUGUUUUGUUUUUUACUGAAAUGAUAUUGUUGGCUCUACAAACAAAUGAAACCCAAUAAUGGGUUUCUCUAUUCUUGCUGGUCUUUUCCUUCUUAAAAGAAUCAUGUGGUCAUUCCUUAUUUGAAAAAAAAAAAGAAAAAGACACUGAAAUGCUGCAAUGCCUGAUAAGGAGAAUCUGCAACACUUGGGCAUCUUGUGUAUAAGAAAAGAUUCUUAUCCUUAUGCUACUGUCAUGGAGCUUGGAUAUUUACAAACCUACCGCUUUUGACAAGCUUGUGAGAAUUUACAUAGUCUCACACCGCCCCUAAUUUUUAUGGCAGAAUGUGUCUCACAUUUGUAAUAUUCUCAGAGCUCCUCAGGAUUCUAACCUCUCUAACUAGAGAUGGUUUCUGAGCAGGCAAGAAGGAAAAAGAGGCAAAAACUGAUUGCAUCUUUUGUUCGCUUUUCAAAGCCAGAUCUCGAAAUUCCCAAGAAUCCUUAAAGUUGGAGACAUGUAGCUAAUGGAAUUCUAGUCAAUCCACAUAUUUAUGUGUUUGGAAAGUGGCUGUUAUCAGUUCUUCUUAACCAUGUGCACUAUUGUCAGGGCCCUUCCAGGCAGCCACACCUGACGAAAGCUGUGAUUGCCCUAGAUUUCCACUAGAGACCUCUAGCUGAUCACAGGAGCCUGGAAAGCAGCUCUCAUUACUGGGCGUUUCUCUAGAAGCAGCAGAGGAUAAGAGUUUGCCAGUUGCCCCUGGGAGAAGGUGGACUUUACCAUCAAAGGAAAAUAAUUCUGUAUAAUCUUUCUCUCUCUCAUUUUUUUUUAAAGCAAAUUGAGGCUUAUUCAAGUAGGUAUAUUGUGAAACACUGAAGAGGAAAUAAUUUCUGUGUCUUAAAGCUAUGGCAUACAAAAGACAAAAUAGAGAUUUUUAUAGAUUGAAAGGCCCCUUCUCUAAGGGGCUGUUCAUACUGAUAUUUGGAGGCCAGCCUCAAUUCUCAGUGUUUGAGAGCUUCUCCUGACAGGUAUGAGGGAGAAUGAGUUUACUCGCAGUCUGAGAGCUUUUAGGCAUUAUUGUGAAGCUGAACAAAGUGCUCCCUGUGCCCCACCAUGCCCCAGCCUUUUACUGCAGCCCCCUAUAUGUGAAGGAUGGUAGCCCUCCGGGUGCAUACCACCUUCAAUGCCAGGCCUAUAGCUGUAAUCCCAUGCAACAGAAACAGAUGGGAUACAUCUGUAAGGAGAGACUGGUAGAUGAAGUUUCACCGUUUUUCCAAAAACGCAAAACACAUUAAUCUCCAUUUGCCUUUGAAUAGUCUGCAGUAGAAACAGAGGACCAAAAGGGAAAAUAAUCUCCCCUCAUUUAACCUGUGCCCCUGUGAAAAAUUGUGAUAGCUUGUAUUUCAGAAACUGAGUGUAACUAAUUUUGCCCUCUAUCCAUGGUCUUCACUACACAGCAGCAUUAGAAAGAGAAUCAAAAUCGGAUCAGAUCAAUGAAUCUAUAAAGCCUUUUUUGGAAUGUAUUGCCACCACGAGUUGAUCAGUUUCUCCAGAGGCCCUCUAAUACCCAGUUUUCUCUGGGGCAAUUGUAGAUCCUUUUGCAUUCAUUUUUAGGACAAAUCUUGUCAUUCUUUUAGGUAGACUGUCAUUUGUUCAUUCAUUUAUUCAUUUGUUUUUCAAAUGCCUAUGCUGCUCCAGUCGCUGUGAUUUGCAAAGAAAACACAAAUGAUGAUAUACAGGGCUUGAGUGGGAGUUCCUAACAUUGGAUCCACAGAUUCCUAAAAGUGAACGACUACUUCAAGAUGUCUGUAAUCCUCCUAAGAUGUGUGUGUGCUUUAACUAUGAGAAAAAUCCAAGAUUUAGAACAAUCUUUAAAGGGAUUGAUGUAAAAACUAUUGUAGAGGCUGACAGUUACACGAGCAAGUAAUCAGAAGACUACAUUAGAAUUGUCAUAUAGUAAAGAUACAGUAUGUACAGUGUCACAUGAGGUCACAGGUGGAGUUUUCUCAAUUGUCACUGAUGACACAGGUCAGUGAAGGCUACAGAGAAGGUAGCAUUUGUGUUAUAUGUGAAGGUUGAGUAGGAAGUGGUGAGAUGACUUGAAGGGAGGGUAGACGAAAGUCAGUGUGCUCUGAGGGGCAGUUCACCUCCAGGGUCUGAGGCCACCCUGCAAGUUGGAGCAUGAUUGGAAUUUUCUCUCCUGCAACCUGACAAAUGAAGCGCGCUUUGCCAUGAGUCAACUGUUACGGGAAAAGGAAUUCCACAGGCAUGCCCUGACUGACCACAAAUGGGCGAGAGCACAUGAUACAGGUUAAGAUUAAGCUGUUUCUUUCAUGUGAGUCUCAUCACUGAGAUCUGAUUCCACCUACAAAGGUUGCCUCUAGGGCUUUAGAUUGAGAUGUUAUCAUGGACUGAACUGUGUCCCUGCAAAAUUCAUACGUUGAAGCCCCAGCUCCCAGUGUGGCUGUAGUUGGAGAUAAGACUUUUUUAAGGAGGUAAUCAAGCUUAAAUGAAGUCAUAAAGGUGGAGCUCUAAUCCAACAGGGUCGAUGCCCUCAUAAGAAGAGGAAGAGACAUCAAGAGUGCACAUGCACAGAGAAAAGGCCAUGUGAAGUCACAAGAAGAUGGCUGUCUGCAGGCAAAGGGGAGAGGCCUCACCAGAGACUAAUCCUGCCAGCACCAUAAUCUUCAACUUCCAGUCUCCAGAACUUUAAGAAAAUAAAUUUAUGUUGUUUGAGCCCAUCAAUCUUGUACUUUGUUGUAGUAGCCUGAGCAGAGGAAUUCAUCUGGAUUGACUUCUUGUUGGUCUGGUGUUUAUUGUAUUCUGCCUGAAAUGGGUUGCAGACUUACCAAAUGUGACAGAUCUUGUACCAUGUACAUGUACACAGCUAAGUGUUCUUGAGAGGGCACUUUCUAAAAGACUUUAUACUCAGCUUAUUAGAGAGGAU